CUUCACUCUCUAACCUCUUUGCAGGGACCACAGACACAGAUGUGACAGUGAAGGUGUCCCCAACUUUCUCUGCCUUCUCGAGACCCACAGAGACCUCAGCGUUUCUGCCCACCACUACCUCCACCAGCACAGCCACCACUCCUCCCUCCAGCUCUGAAGUGGAAACCUCCACCCUGGAGGAGAGGUCCAGCACGCCACCGUACACCUUCACAGCCAGCACUACAACUACUUGGGGCAGCAGCCCUGCAGCCUCUAACGUCACCACACCGGCUGAGAGGGGCAGCACAGCCUACAGCUCUGCCAGUUUGCCCGCUGGCACCACCACAGUCCAGAUAGUCUCCAUCACCACAGGAAAGGGGACCACCACUGAUGCCCAGUCUCCAACCACUGCAGCCAUGACGUCCACCUGUGCCGAGAUGACAGCCAGCACGUCCACGGGGACCAGCAUGGCUCCAGGCGUCAGCUCAACCAGAGGCGACACAACCACAGUGCCUCCCUCCACCUCCUCUCUUCUUACUUCCACCAUGGAGGGCACCACACUUGCCACAAGCACCAGUGAAGAGCCAGCCAUGACCUCACCGCUUCAUAGCACAUCACAGGAGACCAGCAGUGCAUCUCCCUCUACAGUGAUGCCUCCCAUCACAACAGAAGAGACAAUCACUUCAGCUGGGUCCUCGACAUUGCUGGAAGGCACCACAACUGCCUCUGUCACCAGCACAGCGGUCUCAGAGAGCACCCCCACUGCCACCCAGCCAGAGACCACAGCUGAGACCACCUCUGCUAUCUCCACCCCGACCUCAGGGACAGCCCCAGACACCACGACAGCGCCUCAAACCUCAAGUGCAGCAACAAGUGCAUCUCACCUCUUUCUGUCACUGCGCCUAACUGUUCCCCUGGACCUUGAAAACUCCAUGGCCCAGGAGCUGAUUUUGUCCAAGCUCCGUGGGGAUCUGCAGACUGCGUUCCCGUGUGCUGGCUUCACAGUGGAGUGGAGAGGGAAGAGAAGGACCUGAAUGCUCUCCUCCCAGCCUGACGACCUGCAGGGCAGGGACCUGAGUAAAUUUGCAAGUGUUCUGCUCUCAGUUCUUUUCCAUGUUGGUGUGGCUCUCUAGGGUAACCUGUGCAGCUCCUGUUGAACCCGGACCCCUCCAUCCAACACUUCAUCCCCCCGCAAUGACCACCAGUGCACCCUGCAUCCUGUUGUUCUCCCGGGCUGGGAUUGUCCCUGCCACUUCCUGCAGUCUGUCUGCAUCUUGCCCCAUGCUGCAGAGCUCAAGCCCUCCCAUGGCCUUGUACCAGUCCCARUGCCCACAUUUGGGCCCUUCUGCUGUCCCCUGGCUCUCUCAGGGGGCUGGAAGGAGAGACAGGCUGCCCAUGAGACCCUACAAGGGCUGGCCUUUUGUGGCCGGGAUGGCAAUGAGGGAUGGCUGAGUCAUAAAAGUCACCCUUGGAGCUAAUAAAUAAGAGAAAGGAGAUCUGGAGACUCUGCUC
rnacentral:lncRNA from 1 species